rnacentral:rRNA from 1 species
UACGAAGGGGGCUAGCGUUGUUCGGAAUUACUGGGCGUAAAGCGUGCGCAGGCGGCCUUCCAAGUCAGGGGUGAAAGCCCAGAGCUCAACUCUGGAAUUGCCUUUGAGACUGUGAGGCUUGAGUACGGGAGAGGUGAGUGGAAUUCCCAGUGUAGAGGUGAAAUUCGUAGAUAUUGGGAAGAACAACGGUGGCGAAGGCGGCUCACUGGCCCGAAACUGACGCUCAUGCACGACAGCGUGGGGAUCAAACAGG